rnacentral:rRNA from 1 species
ACUUUCAGUGGGGAAGAACUGCAUAAUCAGUAACUGGGUUAUGAUUGACGGUACCCACAGAAGCAGCCCCGGCUAACUCCGUGCCAGCAGCCGCGGUAAUACGGAGGGGGCAAGCGUUGUUCGGAGUCACUGGGCGUAAAGAGCUCGUAGGUGGCAGUGUAAGUCGGGAGUUAAAGGCCACAGCUCAACUGUUGUAAGGCUUUUGAAACUACAUUGCUAGAGUGCCAGAGAGGUAUGCGGAAUUCCCUGUGUAGCGGUGAAAUGCGUAGAUAUAGGGAGGAACACCGGUUGCGAAGGCGGCAUACUGGCUGGUAACUGACACUGAGGAGCGAAAGCGUGGGUAGCAAACAGGAUUAGAUACCCUGGUAGUCCACGCUGUAAACGAUGGAUGCUAGGUGUUGGAUGUAACCACAUUCAGUGCCCAAGCUAACGCAUUAAGCAUCCCGCCUGGGGAGUA